rnacentral:rRNA from 1 species
CCGUAACGAUACAACUAGCGUUCCGCCGCUGGCAAACACGCCUUGGCGGGCAGCUUCCCGGAAACGAAAGUUUUUCGGUUCCGGGGGAAGUAUGGUUGCAAAGCUGAAACUCAAAGAAAUUGACGGAAGGGCACCACCAGGAGUGGAGCCUGCGGCUUAAUUUGACUCAACACGGGAAAACUCACCUGGCCCGGACACCGUGAGGAUUGACAGAUUGAGAGCUCUUUCUUGAUUCGGUGGUUGGUGGUGCAUGGCCGUUCUUAGUUGGUGGAGUGAUUUGUCUGGUUUAUUCCGAUAACGAGCGAGACUCUAGCCUACUAAAUAGUUACUGGAUAAUUGCGUCCAGAAGACUUCUUAGAGGGACAAGCGGUGUUCAGCCGCACGAAGCUGAGCAAUAACAGGUCUGUGAUGCCCUUAGAUGUCCAGGGCUGCACGCGCGCUACACUGGAGGAAUCAGCGUGCUGUAACCAUUGCCGAAAGGCAUUGGUAACCCCUUGAAAAUCCUCCGUGAUCGGGAUCGGGAAUUGCAAUUAUUUCCCUUGAACGAGGAAUUCCUAGUAAGUGUGAGUCAUCAGCUCACGUAGAUUACGUCCCUGCCCUUUGUACACACCGCCCGUCGCUGCCCGGGACUGAGCCGUUUCGAGAAAUGCGGGGACUGCUGUUUCGAUACCUUUCGGGGUGGAGAUUCUUUGGUGGAAACCGCCUUUAU